rnacentral:lncRNA from 1 species
CAGGUGCUUUGAGGGGAGGAAGCAAGCUGCCUGAGGGGGAGCUGUACAACAGUCACCUAACUCACCUGGGUGCGGAAGUCAUCUGGGGUCCCGAAGGCUCAGGGGAUAUAAACAAAUUAAUACUUUUUGGAAGUGGGGCAACCAGACUUGAAAGAAACCACGUUGUCUGAGGACUAG